rnacentral:rRNA from 1 species
GACGUAGGGGGCGAGCGUUGUCCGGAUUUAUUGGGCGUAAAGCGUGCGUAGGCGGCUGCGCAAGUCGGGUGUGAAACCCCGGGGCUCAACCCCGGAACUGCAUCCGAUACUGCGUGGCUAGAGGUAGGUAGGGGAGAUCGGAAUUCCUGGUGUAGCGGUGAAAUGCGUAGAGAUCGGGAGGAAGGCCGGUGGCGAAGGCGGCGCUCUGGAACGUUUCUGACGCUGAGGCUCGAAAGCGUGGGGAGCAAACAGG